UGUCAGCAUUGGGUGAGGUUUGUAAUAC
rnacentral:sRNA from 1 species